GAUGCAGGAACUGAACUGAACGCAGGAACUGAACUGACUCAACUGAAAUAAGUGUAAUUCCUGGAUUAGGUGUACGAAUUGCAAAUUGUAUUUAUCAUACUUUUUAGGACAGUUCAAAAUGAUUCUGAAAUAUAUGGAAUAUCAUGAAUAUUUAAUCUCCACCUCUUAAGAAAACAUGCUGAUAGAUGGCUAUCAAUUUCAAGCAUGUAGGCCUAUUGAUAUAUAUACAUUAUUCAAAUGAUUUCUAAAAACUGUUUUGUUUUUGCUGUUUUUUUUCUGGGAUUCAGGAGCAUUUUUAUGACCCAAUAUCACAUAGUGGAUUCAUUGAGAUGCGGCUUAGGAAUCUCAGGCGCAAUCUUCAUGAUGAUCAACAUCGGUUUCAGCGCAAGCGUAGUCGGCCUACAACAACUAACCCUAGCCUAGAGCAUCAAUUACAGUGGAGAUGCCUAUAGAAGGGGAGGAGUUGAUAGACAAUCACCACCUUAACUAACACAUUUGCUGUGGGAAACACUG